GUCCACGCCGUAAACGAUGUCGACUAGCCGUUGGGAGCCUUGAGCUCUUAGUGGCGCAGCUAACGCAUUAAGUCGACCGCCUGGGAGUACGGCCGCAAGGUUAAACUCAAAUGAAUUGACGGGGCCCGCACAAGCGGUGGAGCAUGUGGUUUAAUUCGAAGCAACGCGAAGAACCUUACCAGGCCUUGACAUCCUAUGAACUUUCCAGAGAUGGAUUGGUGCCUUCGGGAGCAUAGAGACAGGUGCUGCAUGGCUGUCGU
rnacentral:rRNA from 1 species